rnacentral:rRNA from 1 species
UCGGGAAUUUUGGGCAAUGGGCGAAAGCCUGACCCAGCAACGCCGCGUGAAGGAUGAAAUCCCUCGGGAUGUAAACUUCGCAAGAACGGGAAGAAUAAGCGAGAGCUAACACCUCUCGUGACGACGGUACUGUUUGUAAGCUCCGGCUAACUCCGUGCCAGCAGCCGCGGUAAUACGGGGGGAGCAAGCGUUGUUCGGAUUUACUGGGCGUAAAGGGCGCGUAGGCGGCCACUGCAAGUCAAUUGUGAAAUCUCCGGGCUUAACUCGGAAAGGUCAACUGAUACUGCAGGGCUAGAGUGCGGAAGGGGCAACUGGAAUUCUCGGUGUAGCGGUGAAAUGCGUAGAUAUCGAGAGGAACACCUGCGGCGAAGGCGGGUUGCUGGGCCGACACUGACGCUGAGGCGCGAAAGCUAGGGGAGCGAACGGG